UGCUCCCUUUGGUUUUUGCGUUACGUUUCGUACUUCGAUUCAUUGAAUUGGUUAUAGUUUCAAUUGCUUAUGUUUAAGGAAAAUUUGGAUUAUUUUUUGUUGAAAUCGAGUUUAGUGCCUAAUGAUUUUGGAUCUUUCUAACCUUGCCUAAGCCGACAAUGUGAGUACACUGGGAACUCAUAAAAUCAAGCUGAAUGUGAGAUAAACUAUAGUUUUUAAUACUUUUAUAGUGAUAACUAUAAUUCUCUUCUGUACCAGUCUAGCAUUACACACACAAGUAUGGAUUUGCUCUGGGUGCCGACGGGAUGUAGUAUUGACACUCAAUUUCAUUGUACAAGAAUUGUUCUUUCUCGUCACAAUCCGGCUACUAGAGUCGAUCACAGCACACCGCCCGGAUCCCAAGGGUUUCUGAUGGUGCCCUAGAGUGAACCGAAAAGAGAGAAUUUCGGUGGAGAGAUUAUUCUUAUUUUUUCUUGUGUCUUUUUAUGGCUAAUCCCUCAUGUAUUUAUAGGCCAUAGGAGAGAUGUUAAUUCUAAUCCUAUUCUAACUGAAUCUCACACAGAUAGGGAUUUAAAAUAGAAUAGGAUUUAUCUUUUUGGAUUUAUUCUUGAUCCCAUGUGGACUAGUAAUAUUUUAGAUAAGUCCAAUAUGGAUGAAUUCUACCAUCUCCCACUCGUACACACUUGGUGCUUAUUUCAAUAUUCUAAUUCAAAUAUAUUCUCAUCUCGUUCUACUCUUCAUACGGGAAAUGGUUGGUGCGAUCAAUAACGAGAAGAAUCAAAAGUGAAGAGUGUUAUAUUAAACCACCAUCUAACUAACAUAACACUACAACUCCAAAUCUCGGCUAUACCCCAAAUCACUAAACUACACCAGAUCAUAGCAUCUCUAAUCCCUAUAAUCGAGCAAGCUAGAUCUCUUUUAUCAAAGCAUUUGCAUUCAUGAUUACAUUGACAACAAAUAUCAAUAUAAUCGCCUAGGCUAUGAGUUACAAAUCAUAGGUGUGUUGUCAAAUGAUUUUUCGUCAGACGCCCCUUGCCAAUCUAUUUCAACAUGACUGCUUUCCUAGACAUGUUCCGCUGGACCGAAUCAAUCAUAGCUCUUGGAUAUCAUACUAAAGUAACAUCGCCAAGUAUCCACCUCAUGAUAUGGUUCUAAGUCCCAAAGGGUACGCAAAGUUCACAUAGUGAUGAAAAAGGGAUCAGUUUUGUCACUCUCUAAAACUAGUGAUUGAUCUUGCACAUAUGGUAUGAACGUAUACUAUGGUGGAGCUUCCUCUAAGGACAUGUUACGCUCAAAACACCAUGCGGAUGUCGGUUCUGUUGCAAUUCAAAACAACAAAUCUCAAGACAGUCACCCACAUAGUGCCUUCUUUACAUUCGGCUUCAUAUAGGCCAAGUAGAGUUGUGGACUAUAUCUAUAAUUGAUUCCAUAAAGUCUCAUCUUAGCUCAUCUAAGGCAACAUUCAUGAUUGAAACACGUGCUUGCUCAUUUAGUGCGAAGUGGAUCACCUGCAUUACUAGUUGCAUUUAUGUGAUCUUAUCUGUCUCAUCCUGCUCGCUCUCCUAGCUGCAGAUCGAUCACGCUCUCCUAGCGGCAGAGCGAUCACCCGUGUGAGAAGGUUGAUCAAGGGCUUGGUGACAUUCAUCCUCAUAAAAUAAGGAUAUGGUGCACUAAUUCAAAUUUUUUUAAAAAAUGUAUGAAUAAAGAACGAAAAUAAAUAUAUUUAUUAUCAAAAUGUCAAUACAAGAUAUAUGAGGGUCAAAUCCUGCACAAACCCAAUCCUCCAACAUGUCUAUGAAAAACAUCUCUAAUAAAGGGUUUGGUAAAAGGAUCUACGAUUGUAUCAUUAGUAGUCGUAAAUCUAAUUACAAUCUGACUCUUUGCAAUCUUAAAAUUCUCAAAUUCCUUGAUCAAGUCAUCGUGCAUACAGCUCAACAUCGUAUAGUGUGUGCUUCAAUCUUUGUCAAGCCACUCAUUAUAGGCUUGUAAUUCAUGACGGUGCUGAGUCGUUGUGCCUUCCUCGGGCCGAACCAUGCUGUUGGUAACUAUUGCUAAGGAUUGUGAUGUAGCGAAUGGUUGAUUGACAUGUCGUAGGGGGCAAUCUAAGACACUAGGUUGAGAGCUGAAGUGUAUUACUGUUGGGGAGAAAGAUUCCUUGCCUCAAGUUUGCCUUUUAGAUAUUGCAAACCAAAAUUGAUGGCUAUAAGAUGAGGCUUUCUCCUGUAGUUGAAUGGGUUUAGAUUGACUGUUCAACUUUUGAUACUACAUCUUUUUCUCCUGUAGCUGCUGAACCUGGCGCAUUGCUCCUUUUGAGUAGAGACGAGCAAUACUUCUUCUUCUUACAUUGUAUCCCCUCCUCAAAUAGGGUAAACCCCUGUUUAAUAAAAAAAAAAUGAUAGGAGACCUGCCCAUAUUUUAAGGCAUUCAUAAAAAGGUAGUUAGGAGACAUGCCCAUAUUUUCAUAAUCGACUUCAGGGUUAUAUCGAGAAGGGAUACUGUCUUCGAUCUCUGCAAACAAAAAAAGGUAGUUAGGAGACCUGCCCAUAUUUUAAGGCAUUCAUAAAAAAAAAAAAGAAAAAAAAAAGAAAAAAAAAGGAGGCACCUCGUGGGGAAGCAAUGUUGUGAGGAUCUGCCACGAUAAUCUUUGCAUCAAUCAAAGGAUUACGGUCAUGACCUACGUAAGCAAACAUAGGUGAAUCAGCAAGAUAAAAAUAAAUAAAUAAAAAUAAAAAAAAGAGGACAAAGAAGAAAGGCUCACUACCCUCGUCGAAAGAAGUAAGAACUGGAGGAGGCUCUACUUCGUUGCCAAUCAUGGGAGAAUAAGUAUUCUCGUUAAGAUGGUCUGCAAAAAAAAAAAAAAAAAAAAAAAAAAAAAAAAAGGAGUGAAAAAAAAAGGGAAGGUUGGAUACCUCUAGAGGGUGUUGGUGACGGCAGUUUCUCCUCAGGAAUCCACUUUGUAUGCAUUUGAGAUGCUUAAAAAAGAAAAAAAAAAAGAAAAAGGAGAGGUAUAAAUAAAUAAGAAAAAAAGAGAAAAAAAAAGAAGAAAAGACAAUGCAUAUAAGUGCUUACCUUUUUCUCUUGUAACGCUCGUCGUAGCCAUUGAGGCAUCAACUCAGGGUCUUUUCAGAUCCCUGCGGCUCAAGUCUUCGGGAAGUCCUCUCUUGGCAGCAAUCUGAUCGAUUACUAUAUUGGGUUCGAAUCGAUUAUGCACGAGCAAAAAUGAAUUAGGAACGUCCGAAACCUCUUGCAUCUGCUGGAGAGAAUGAUGAGCCGAUUCUGCCAAGAGAUUUUGCUUAGCUGUAUGAGCAAAUGGACUUAUCUCACGAGCACCACUUUGAGGCUCCCUAGGUGAAGACCUAGAAAUUGUCUUGUAAAUAAUGGGCUUGCAUGCUUUCUUCGGGUUUAGUUCACGCUCUACUAAAGAAUCAAUCCCGGAUGAAAAAUAAGGUUACAACACACUCCUCCACCAAAAAGCAUACAAACGUGUUGGCUUUCCAACGCUAUUGGCAUCUGGAAUAAAGAAUCUAGUAAAAUGGCAAACUCUUGUAAAAUGUGACCAAUACCCCAUCAACACACCGGCUGAAGCAGCAAUUCCAGCUAUGUUAUCAGUAUCCCUAACAUAGUGCUGAUCAAAACCAAAUUGACGAGCAAACCUGUGAGGAUUGUAAGAUUGUGCGUGAAAUAUAUUUCCCAUACGAAGUGGUAUAACACUAUGGCGAAUAGACAUUAGAUACUCUUUGACAUUAUCAGGGAACUCCGUCAUCCUCGACAAAUCGAUUAUUUCAUGAACCCAACCCUCCCUGGAAAGAGCAAAUGGGAAUGGACGCCACACGAAUUUCUCCUGUUGCCAUAAAUUCACCCUAGAUCUUCUUGCAUCAUGCUGCGGCUUUCUCGAAUUAUAAGAAGUAAUCUUAGCAUCCUUAAAUCGCAACAUUUUCGAGACUCAAGUGUGUUUUAACGUUUUUAGGAUUACCUGAUCGAUCUUCUCACGAAUGCAAGUUCCCCGAAAGUGAGAAUGAACCCACGCCGCCAAAAAGUGAAUGGGGAAGCGACAACUGGAGUGCGAUGGCCCUUGUGGGUCAGAAGACAUUUGACACAAUGCAACUUGGAUUGCGCAUAAUAUAGCAGGAGCCAAGGCAAUUUUGGUACCUUUACCUAGUUUGGAUGCCAUAACAAAAACUUCUGGGCGGAUUAUAUUUCUUUCACCCGAAGGCAUAAUGAACUUGCAAAGCCAUAGUGCUAAGAAAGCUGCUAGAUAACCAUCAUCCUUGAUUGGUGGACCAGAGUAACGCUCAUCAUCAGUAAUGUAACGUAACCUGGCUUUAGAAGAAGAUGAAAUAUCACCUUGGUACCAGAAGUUGACCCAUUGAUUGUAGUACACAACGCCUCCUUGAUUCUUGGCAACAAGCCACUCAUAUACCACGAGCAGUGAAGUGAGGUUAGAAUCAUACAUAUCAAGGUCACAAUUCCUUGGGACAAACUCUUCGUACAUAUCCCCAAGAAUAGGAAUACCACCUAAUAUCUUAAUGUCCCAAAGAGAAAUACCAAUCUCACCAUAUGGAAAAUGAAAAGUAUUUGUUUCAAGACACCAAGCCUCUAUCAAACCCUUGAAUAUGCGUGAAUCUAAUUCAUACCUGCCCCUGAAGGCGAUGAUUCCUCCUAAAAUACCAGACAAAUGUAACGGACCUUCAAAUCGCCGAAUGACGUCAUCUCUCCAUUCUACAAGGCCGUCCAAAGCUGUCCGGUCUCCCAACGUCUUAAAGCCUCGCCAACUUGGUCGUCCUUGUAGGAUGCGAAGGCCCAAGCAAUGUAUAUCUUCUGCCCCACUUUUAUCUCCCACGGGCUCUGGUAAUAUAGCAUUGUCCGAUCUAGCAUCUGUGAAAUAUCGUUGAGUAAAACUUGCCAUCGCAAAAGGACGUACAACUGCCCACCGGUUCAGCGGGAUCCCUUCAUAGAAAAUUUUAGGGCUACUGUCGGCAAGAGAACGUGCGCGGAAUAUAGUAGCUUGGGCAUAUGCAUAAAAUUCAUAAGUGCCUGUCAUAUGUCUAAUAAAAAAAAAAAAAAAAA